AAUUCAAAACACAUCUCUGAGUUGUGAUUGGCCCGCCAGUUCUAAGACCUGGGGCAUUGAUCGAGGCUAGACCAAUCGCAGGCAAAAAUGAUUUUUGCCGCUGGCAGGUGGGGCCAGUUUACGCCAUAUAUUAGCUAAACGUCAUAUAUUAGAAUUACACGAGUAACGCAAUACCCCAACACUGGUCCUAACAGACAACACACUGAAGCAGAUGGCCUAAAGCAGCAGAGGACUACUCGUGAAGCUCAACUACAUCCAUCAAUGACAACAAGCUGACUGUACUUUAAAGGCCACUCUGACAGAGCACCUUUGGGAUGUGGUGCAACAGGACAUUCAGGUUAGGUGAUGCCAGGUUCCAGCUGGGAGUGCAAAACGUUGCUGCUUUGCAUGCAGACGGUAUCAAAUGAGCCAGCAAACAGACGGACUCCAAACACCUGAUCGCUGCGGACCAUCUGUGUUACCAGAAUAUAAAUGGACUGCUCUGUCCACAUCGUAAACCUUACAUCAGACACUUGCUUCAAUUUUCUCCUCAAUGAAUGGAAAGUAAUAGCAGCCACCCCCGCCCCCCAAAAAAACCUCCCCCCUCCCUCCAUGUAAGAAGGCAAAUUAAAAGAGCGACUCAAACAUGUAAUCGUCCAACUCAGUCAUUAUUCGCAGGAUCUGAAUGAAUCAUUCAGAAAAUCAAAUAAAGAGAGAAACGAGUCCAGCACCUAGAAA